rnacentral:lncRNA from 1 species
UCAGCUAUUGUACCACCAACAACACGGUGGCUGACAUCCUCACAAAGGCACUGGGGUGAAAUCAAGUUCGUGCACUGCCGCGCGGUGCUGGGCGUCACUUAGACCGCAGUUGGCCGUGCGGCCCCCGUGGCUACGGGUGGCCUGCUGGCCGGUUGGGCCGCGCGGAUAGGCUUGGCUGUUUGCUCUUUCUGCUGUGUAAGGCCCGAGGCAGAGGUGCAAUUCUCGCCAAAAUCGUCCAAACCACGCCGUUCAGCACCAUCCGGUCAGCCAACAGAACCAGUUAAGGGAGACAGUAACAGAGAACCGGUGUUUCACUUCAAGCCCCUAGGUUUGGCCGCUUGGUCACCCCUGAGCGGGCACAUGUUUUGGCUUCCUAUCGACCCUUCCUUCAGUGGGCGUCCGUCAGCAUCUGUUGAGUGAUCCGUCGCGUCGGUGGCGGUGGGUCAGUCUGUUGGCGCUUUGCGUUUAUUUUGUUCGCUCUUUUGCCUGCGUAGAGGUGGUGCAUCCGCCGCCCUUGCUGCUGGGGUGUCGUUCGGAGGUCUUUCGAGGCGUUUGGCUUCGGGAGUUUCGGUGUGGGCGCCUGUCUGGCAGCUCUCACCUCUUUGGCCCUCUUGCGGCUCGGCACGAAGCGCCGUGGUGGUUCAGUAAUUCAACCGUUAGAGGGGGUAUCUAUUCCUUUGCCAUUUGUCUUUGACGCAACAACUCAUGCGAGCUUGCGUUAAGUAAGAUGGGUUAGUUGUGCGUAAGGCCCAGUGCUGCCCGUGUCCUCAAUUCAUUCCGCGCAUUACCCUAAUAAGGUUAUCUUUAAUUUGUUGUUCCGCGCGUAUGCAUUUUUUAUACUCACGCUGAUCCUUCAAUGACGACAGUGUAAGGUAAAGCCCAAUGAUUUAGCAUUCAUAACAAGAAUCUGUCUUUCUUACUCUAUAAUGGGCGCACCAUUCAUUCGCAGGCAAGCAGCGGGAAGCAGGAAAAGGGGGACUAGACGGCACCAGGCAGUAAGUGGCCAUCAUGCAGGUGCAUACACUGACAUUAUGCCUUGCCAUUUUACAUUCCAAGGACACGAGCAGAAGGACAAGCGCAAGGAACAGGACAAGCGCAAGGAUGGUAAGGAUAUGAACAAGAGUCGGGCUCAAACGGGACGUGGCAGGCCACGUAACGGCCGUUCGGAGGUAUGAAGCCUCUGGUGCAAGACCAUGGCUAUUAACUAAAUGCUUUUUAUUGCGUUAUUUCGAGGCACGUUAUGCCGGUGUCACACCUACAGCCGUCAUUGCACGUAACACGCUCACAACUAUGUGUUCCUGCCUAAACAAUGAUUUGUUGUGAUGCAGAAAUAUGCCUUCCGUCGUGAACAUGACACGCGAGCGGAGGCGAGGAUUGAGCGCUUUAACAAGAAGACAAUAGUGGCGGUAUUGUGGUACAGUUACAUGCGCUUAGCUUUUGUGUGCCCAUUUUUUCUGACGUUUAGACUGUUGAACCCGUUUACAUGGAGUUGCUGGCUGAGUUGCAUUAGGAUUUGCUAUGAAUUCGUACCUGUUAUUCAGGAAUAGUUGAAAUGUAUGAAGAAAACAGUGAGUGCUGUGGUUCACAGGUCAUGUGCAACGGCGGUGCACUUUGCACAUUGUACAGCUCGUGUACUGCUAUUGUAAUGCUUUUGUAUUGCACGGUUGGCCGUACAGUUCGCAGUCCCGCACGCAAAUCGCAGUCACUCGCGUAAAAUUCAAAUGGUAGCACAUGAAUUCGCAGGAUUCGCAGUCGCGUAGCCAUUCGCAAUCCCUUGGCGAUGCGCUUGCGUUAAAAGUCAC